CACGUAAUUAGCCGGACCUUAUUCGUAUAGUACUGUCAUUUUCUUCCUAUACAAAAGAUUUUUACAACCCGAAGGCCUUCUAAAUCACGCGGCGUCGCUGCAUCAGGGUUUCCCCCAUUGUGCAAAAUUCCCCACUGCUGCCUCCCGUAGGAGCCUGGGCCGUGUCUCAGUCCCAAUGUGGCCGUACACUCUCUCAAGCCGGCUACUGAUCGUUGCCUUGGUGGGCUUUUUCUCACCAACUAGCUAAUCAGACGCAAGUCCAUCUUACACCGCUAACACUUUGACUAUCGCUUCAUGCGAAGUGAUAGUUUCAUAGGGUAUUAUUCGUCGUUUCCAACGGCUAUCCCCUUGUGUAAGGCAGGUUACUCACGCGUUACUCACCCGUCCGCCACUAAUCCACUUAAGUUCAUUCCGAAGAAAUCAUUUAAGUUCAUCGUUCGACUUGCAUGUGUUAUGCACGCCGCCAGCGUUAAUCCUGAGCCAGGAUCAAACUCUA
rnacentral:rRNA from 1 species